rnacentral:lncRNA from 1 species
AUGAGAUGUGGCCCAGGCUGUAUUAUGGGGUUAUUAGCAACGUGCUGUCAGUUUAACCUGACCUCCCUUUUUAAAAUAAGUCAAUUCUGGCUUAUUUCAUUUUCAUUUAGAAUAACUAUAAUCAACAGAAACAGAGUAACCUGCAAUCGUUCCCUGCACCGCCUUUUAAUUUGGGAUGGAUUUACACGACACGGUCCAACUGAAACCCAUUUAUUUGGCUUUCCUGAGGACACGAGGCUGCUCAGGAGCCCGGUGCUGCUGAUGGGCAGAGCCGGCACGCACCGUGCUGUCUGCUGGGGAUGUACCAGGCACAGAGCUCCAAACCUUGUUGUGCAGUGCCAUCUUGAGGUUUCGAGAGAUAAAAGCGCUUUAUACGAGACUGCGCUGUGUUUUUAUCGUGCAGAAGGAGCAGGUGAAGUUGGCUCUCCUUGCUGCGGGACAAGGUGCGCCCUGUGGGCCCGACAGGACGGUGCUGGAGAUGCCCCGGGGCGGCACCGGCUCCUGUUGGAGCCUCCCGUGGCAGCGUGCUGCCCGUUCCGUGCCCGCAGGAGCCGUGUGACUCGGCCCGUCCCUGGUGCAGCCCGGUGCAGACGCCGCCCGGCCGAUGCUGCCGUCUCUCCGCUUUGCGCCUUCCCUGCCCGGCGCCUGCCCCGCUCUGCCCCGCUCUGCCCGGCUCUGCCCCCGGUCUAUUGGCGGCCAACGCCACCCGCCCCGCGGGCCGCCUGGGGCGGAAGCGCGGUUCGCGCCUUCCCGCGGCCGCUCGGCUCUUUCCGCCACCCCUCCGGGCCGCUUCGUUCGUUUCCGCGCCCGCUCGGCUCUUUCCGAGGAGGCCGGCGGCGCGCUCGGCCGUUCCCGCCGCCCGCCGCGCGUUCGGCGGUUUCCGUGAGCGCUCGGCGGUUUCCGUGCGGGCCGCGUUGCGCUCGGCGCUUGCUCCCUGGCUGGCGCUCCUCAGUCGGCCGCUGCCUGCCUGUCGCCGGGCUGGGAGCGCCUGUGUGUGUGUGA